GACGAACGCUGGCGGCGUGCUUAACACAUGCAAGUCGAACGGAAAGGCCCCUUUGGGGGUCCUCGAGUGGCGAACGGGUGAGUAACACGUGAGUAACCUGCCCUUGACUUCGGGAUAACUUCAGGAAACUGGGGCUAAUACCGGAUAGGAAUCCUUGCUGCAUGGUGGGGGUUGGAAAGCUUCGGCGGUUUUGGAUGGACUCGCGGCUUAUCAGCUUGUUGGUGGGGUAGUGGCUUACCAAGGCUUUGACGGGUAGCCGGCCUGAGAGGGCGACCGGCCACAUUGGGACUGAGAUACGGCCCAGACUCCUACGGGAGGCAGCAGUGGGGAAUAUUGCACAAUGGGCGGGAGCCUGAUGCAGCAACGCCGCGUGCGGGAGGACGGCCUUCGGGUUGUAAACCGCUUUCAGCAGGGGCGAAGCUUGUGGUGACGGUACCUGCAGAAGAAGCACCGGCUAACUACGUG
rnacentral:rRNA from 1 species